GACGAACGCUGGCGGCGUGCUUAACACAUGCAAGUCGAACGAAGUGGCGAAAGGAUGAGUAAUACGUGGAUAACCUGCCCUCCUUUUUGGGAUAAGCCUUGGAAACGGGGUCUAAUACCGAAUAAAGGGGGAUGGGCUCGGGGCUUAUCAGCUUGUUGGUGGGGUGAUGGCCUACCAAGGCGGUGACGGGUAGCCGGCAUGAGAGGGUGAACGGCCACGUUGGCACUGAGAUACGUCCCAGACUCCUACGGGAGGGAGCAGUGGGGGAUAUUGCACAAUGGGCGAAAGCCUGAUGCAGCGACGCCGCGUGGGGGAUGAAGGCUUUCGGGUUGUAAACCUCUUUCGUUAUCGAAGGGGUAUGUGGAGAAGAAGCGCCGGCUAACUACGUGCCAGCAGCCGCGGUAAUAC
rnacentral:rRNA from 1 species